GUGGCUGCUUUGCUCUGUGGUACCUGGUGGCCCUGCCCAUGACCUUAGAUGCUGCAUCUGGGAUGUGAAUCUAAGACCUACAGCAGAAAAAAUCAUCCCAUCCCAGAGCAGGUCAGACCAAGCAGUGGACACACUUUGCCCCUUCUGUGACAUCAGAGCAGAGGAGAGAGCUGUCCUCAGCAGCAGAUCUCUGGAGUUAAGAGUCCCACCCUCAUAAUGACCCUGGCAGCAUAGGUGCAGGGUUUCCCACCUGUCCUGAGGAGGAUCGCCAGCAGACAUCAGUUCUUAUAAUGUCUGAUUCCAGCGCAGCUAUAAGGAACACAGUGUCCCCGAAUAUCACCUCCCUAGAAGCAGAGCCCCAGAGCAGUGGGCUUUAGGCAUCAGGCAAUCUGAACUACACCCAGGCUAGGCGGAUGCUGAGAGCUGUCUGAAUAAUACAGAACCAAUCAGGAUGGAGUUUGGAGGAAAGUCAGGAAGAUCCCUAAGGACAGUCUCACUUCUGCUUUAGCACAUCUGAGCGCAUCUUCCAAGGGAGGCCGACUGUGUGAGAUCUCACUGCAGGAAGUUAGCUGGAACAGUCCUUCUCGUGGCUCAACAUUGUCCUGCUCUGUGGCAUCAGCUGGAGAGCGUUGGACCCCACACCACGCGGAAGCUGUUAAGGUACACUGGACCCAGCCCAAGGGCAGGUGAAGCUCCUGAUGUACAAGUUUUUCCUGGUAUGGCUAUGGCUUCAUUAAUGUAGUCAUGAAUCCAGAAUGGCUGUUUGAACUUGAGAAAUGCUAUUUGGGGCCAAGAGUACUUCUUUGUGCCCU
rnacentral:lncRNA from 1 species